rnacentral:rRNA from 1 species
GCCUGAAGAUGAGCUCGCGUCUGAUUAGCUAGUUGGUGUGGUAAAGGCAUACCAAGGCAACGAUCAGUAGCUGGUCUGAGAGGAUGAGCAGCCACACUGGGACUGAGACACGGCCCAGACUCCUACGGGAGGCAGCAGUGGGGAAUUUUCCGCAAUGGGCGAAAGCCUGACGGAGCAAGACCGCGUGGGGGAGGAAGGCUCUAGGGUUGUAAACCCCUUUUCUUUGGGAAGAAGUUCUGACGGUACCAAAGGAAUCAGCCUCGGCUAACUCCGUGCCAGCAGCCGCGGUAAUACGGAGGAGGCAAGCGUUAUCCGGAAUGAUUGGGCGUAAAGCGUCCGCAGGUGGCCAUGUAAGUCUGCUGUCAAAACCCAGGGCUCAACUCUGGUCAGGCAGUGGAAACUACAUAGCUAGAGUCUGGUAGGGGCAAAGGGAAUUCCCGGUGUAGCGGUGAAAUGCGUAGAGAUCGGGAAGAACAUCCGUGGCGAAAGCGCUUUGCUAGACCAGAACUGACACUCACGGACGAAAG